CGACAAUGAUGACAAUGUAAAACGGUUGAGAACUAUGAUACGUUGUAACGAGCUUUUUAACACUGAGUCGC
rfam:Cerapachys biroi unplaced genomic scaffold scaffold260, whole genome shotgun sequence.